AUUGAACGCUGGCGGCAUGCCUUCCACAUGCAAGUCGAACGGUAACGCGGGGCAACCUGGCGACGAGUGGCGAACGGGUGAGUAAUGCAUCGGAACGUGCCCAGUAGUGGGGGAUAACUGCUCGAAAGAGCAGCUAAUACCGCAUACGACCUGAGGGUGAGAGCGGGGGAUCGCAAGACCUCGCGCUAUUGGAGCGGCCGAUGUCAGAUUAGGUAGUUGGUGGGGUAAAGGCCCACCAAGCCAACGAUCUGUAGCUGGUCUGAGAGGACGACCAGACACACUGGGACUGAGACACGGCCCAGACUCCUACGGGAGGCAGCAGUGGGGAAUUUUGGACAAUGGACGCAAGUCUGAUCCAGCCAUGCCGCGUGCGGGAAGAAGGCCUUCGGUUUGUAAACCGCUUUUGUCAGGGAAGAAACGCUCUGGGUUAAUACCUCGGGGUAAUGACGGUACCUGAAGAAUAAGCACCGGCUAACUACGUGCCAGCAGCCGCCGUAAGAC
rnacentral:rRNA from 1 species